rnacentral:rRNA from 1 species
UACGUAGGGUGCAAGCGUUAAUCGGAAUUACUGGGCGUAAAGCGUGCGCAGGCGGUUUUGUAAGUUUGUCGUGAAAUCCCCGGGCUCAACCUGGGAAUGGCGAUGAAGACUGCAAGGCUAGAAUCUGGCAGAGGGGGGUGAGAAUUCCACGUGUAGCAGUGAAAUGCGUAGAGAUGUGGAGGAACACCGAUGGCGAAGGCAGCCCCCUGGGUCAAGAUUGACGC